rnacentral:rRNA from 1 species
CCUACGGGAGGCAGCAGUGAGGAAUAUUGGUCAAUGGGCGCGAGCCUGAACCAGCCAAGUCGCGUGAGGGAGGACGGCCCUACGGGUUGUAAACCUCUUUUGCCGGGGAGCAACGGGCGUCACGUGUGUCGCCCCUGAGAGUACCCGGAGAAAAAGCCUCGGCUAACUCCGUGCCAGCAGCCGCGGUAAUACGGAGGAUGCGAGCGUUAUCCGGAUUUAUUGGGUUUAAAGGGUGCGUAGGCGGAUCGUUAAGUCAGUGGUCAAAUUGAGGGGCUCAACCCCUUCCCGCCAUUGAAACUGGCGCUCUUGAGUGGAAGAGAAGUAUGCGGAAUGCGUGGUGUAGCGGUGAAAUGCAUAGAUAUCACGCAGAACCCCGAUUGCGAAGGCAGCAUGCCGGCUUCCGACUGACGCUGAAGCACGAAAGCGUGGGGAUCGAACAGGAUUAGAUACCCUGGUAGUC